rnacentral:rRNA from 1 species
GACGAACGCUGGCGGCGUGCUUAACACAUGCAAGUCGAACGGAAAGGCCCUGCUUUUGUGGGGUGCUCGAGUGGCGAACGGGUGUGUAACACGUGAGUAACCUGCUCUUGACUUUGGGAUAACUUCAGGAAACUGGGGCUAAUACCGGAUAGGAGCUCCUGCUGCAGGGUGGGGGUUGGAAAGUUUCGGCGGUUGGGGAUGGACUCGCGGCUUAUCAGCUUGUUGGUGGGGUAGUGGCUUACCAAGGCUUUGACGGGUAGCCGGCCUGAGAGGGUGACCGGCCACAUUGGGACUGAGAUACGGCCCAGACUCCUACGGGAGGCAGCAGUGGGGAAUAUUGCACAAUGGGCGGAAGCCUGAUGCAGCAACGCCGCGUGCGGGAUGACGGCCUUCGGGUUGUAAACCGCUUUCGCCUGUGACGAAGCGUGAGUGACGGUAAUGGGUAAAGAAGCACCGGCUAACUACGUG